rnacentral:tRNA from 1 species
GGAUUGUGGCUCAGCGAUAGAGUGCUCCCCUAGAACAGGCAGGACCCGGGUUCGAUCCUCAGCACCA